UACAGAGGUGGCAAGCGUUGUUCGGAAUUACUGGGCGUAAAGGGCGCGUAGGCGGCCUUCUAAGUCAGACGUGAAAUCCCCCGGCUUAACCUGGGAACUGCGUCUGAUACUGGGAGGCUUGAGUGCGGGAGAGGGAUGCGGAAUUCCAGGUGUAGCGGUGAAAUGCGUAGAUAUCUGGAGGAACACCGGUGGCGAAGGCGGCAUCCUGGACCGACACUGACGCUGAGGCGCGAAAGCUAGGGUAGCAAACGGG
rnacentral:rRNA from 1 species